AAAUUUAGGUUAACUAUAAACCAAGAGCCUUCAAAGCUCUAAAUAUGGGCCAAACCCAU
rnacentral:tRNA from 1 species